AGUCGAGCGAACGGACGAGAAGCUUGCUUCUCUGAUGUUGGCGGCGGACGGGUGAGUAACACGUGGAUAACCUACCUAUAAGACUGGGAUAACUUCGGGAAACCGGAGCUAAUACCGGAUAAUAUUUUGAACCGCAUGGUUCAAAAGUGAAAGACGGUCUUGCUGUCACUUAUAGAUGGAUCCGCGCUGCAUUAGCUAGUUGGUAAGGUAACGGCUUACCAAGGCAACGAUGCAUAGCCGACCUGAGAGGGUGAUCGGCCACACUGGAACUGAGACACGGUCCAGACUCCUACGGGAGGCAGCAGUAGGGAAUCUUCCGCAAUGGGCGAAAGCCUGACGGAGCAACGCCGCGUGAGUGAUGAAGGUCUUCGGAUCGUAAAACUCUGUUAUUAGGGAAGAACAUAUGUGUAAGUAACUGUGCACAUCUUGACGGUACCUAAUCAGAAAGCCACGGCUAACUACGUGCCAGCAGCCGCGGUAAUACGUAGGUGGCAAGCGUUAUCCGGAAUUAUUGGGCGUAAAGCGCGCGUAGGCGGUUUUUUAAGUCUGAUGUGAAAGCCCACGGCUCAACCGUGGAGGGUCAUUGGAAACUGGAAAACUUGAGUGCAGAAGAGGAAAGUGGAAUUCCAUGUGUAGCGGUGAAAUGCGCAGAGAUAUGGAGGAACACCAGUGGCGAAGGCGACUUUCUGGUCUGUAACUGACG
rnacentral:rRNA from 1 species